UAAAUAAUAGCUCCGUUGGUUAGAGUAAAAGACUGAAAAAAAUCAUUUUGUGUCGGUGGGUCGAGUCCGCCUUGAG